UGUAAAACGGACCAAUGAGCAGGAUGUGGGCGGGGCCAAAUAAGGCAAUAAAAGCUGGCCACCUGAGCCAGCAGCCGUGUGGGUUCCCUUCUAUGCUGUGGGAUGUUUGUUGUUUUGCUCUUUGCAGUUUUGCUCUUUGCAGUAAAUCCUCUGCUGCUCACUCUUUGGGCCUGCACAGCCUUUAUGAGCUGUAACACUCACUGGAAGGUCUGCAGGUUCACUCCUGAAACCAGCAAGACCGUGAACCCACCGGGAGGAGGGAACAACUCCAGCAAGACUCCG